rnacentral:rRNA from 1 species
GAUGAACGCUGGCGGCGUGCCUAAUACAUGCAAGUCGAGCGAACGGACGAGAAGCUUGCUUCUCUGAUGUUAGCGGCGGGCGGGUGAGUAACACGUGGAUAACCUACCUAUAAGACUGGGAUAACUUCGGGAAACCGGCUCUAAUACCGGAUAAUAUUUUGAACCGCAUGGUUCAAAAGUGAAAGACGGUCUUGCUGUCACUUAUAGAUGGAUCCGCGCUGCAUUAGCUAGUUGGUAAGGUAACGGCUUACCAAGGCAACGAUGCAUAGCCGACCUGAGAGGGUGAUCGGCCACACUGGAACUGAGACACGGUCCAGACUCCUACGGGAGGCCGCAGUAGGGAAUCUUCCGCAAUGGGCGAAAGCCUGACGGAGCAACGCCGCGUGAGUGAUGAAGGUCUUCGGAUCGUAAAACUCUGUUAUUAGGGAAGAACAUAUGUGUAAGUAACUGUGCACAUCUUGACGGUACCUAAUCAGAAAGCCACGGCUAACUACGUG